rnacentral:rRNA from 1 species
UACAGAGGUCUCAAGCGUUGUUCGGAUUCAUUGGGCGUAAAGGGUGCGUAGGCGGCGCGGUAAGUCGGGUGUGAAAUCUCGGGGCUUAACUCCGAAACUGCAUUCGAUACUGCCGUGCUUGAGGACUGGAGAGGAGACUGGAAUUUACGGUGUAGCGGUGAAAUGCGUAGAUAUCGUAAGGAAGACCAGUGGCGAAGGCGGGUCUCUGGACAGUUCCUGACGCUGAGGCACGAAGGCCAGGGGAGCGAACAGG